UCCAUAAAUCCAAUCACACAAGUGAAACAUGCCAUUAUUACCCUCUCAUGGGAUUUCUACAAUAUAAACAAACAAAAGCAAACAUGAUUUACCUCCAGCAAACAUGAUUUACUAUGACUAAUUUUCGGAUAACUAAGAGAUAUUAGGUAAAACAGAAAAAUGAAUCACACUUUGCUGCUGCUUGAGGAUCUUUAAUGGACUUCAUCAUAUCAACUGUCUCUUGGUUGUUCAUCACCUGCACACCAGAGAAAUGCAAUUGGAUAAGCUAAUUGACCAAUCAACUCGAGAAAACGUUAAAAGGAUAGAACAUAAAAGGAGGUUUCUAUGAGAAGGAAGACACAACAGAAUGAAUCAUGAGUUAUGAGCAAAUACCACCUAUCAAGUAAAAUGAACAGAAAAAUGAUAGAUAUGGGCUUUGACAUAGCAAGUGAAAUAGUGGACUACUCGAUUCAAAGAUGAUUCAAUUUAAAAUUUCACAUAAAAAAGUGAAAAAAUACUAGAAAAACAAAGAAAACCAACAUCUUACACAAUUUAGCUAUUGUUGAACAUGAUAAAUAACAUAUUAGUGGAAUUUAGAGAUGCUUACAAAGGGAUUAGCAUAGUAC
rnacentral:lncRNA from 1 species